rnacentral:rRNA from 1 species
AACGAACGCUGGCGGCAUGCCUAACACAUGCAAGUCGAACGAGACCUUCGGGUCUAGUGGCGCACGGGUGCGUAACGCGUGGGAACCUGCCCUUAGGCUCGGAAUAACUCCCCGAAAGGGGUGCUAAUACCGGAUAAUGUCUUCGGAUCAAAGAUUUAUCGCCUUUGGAUGGGCCCGCGUUGGAUUAGCUAGUUGGUAGGGUAAAAGCCUACCAAGGCGACGAUCCAUAGCUGGUCUGAGAGGAUGAUCAGCCACACUGGGACUGAGACACGGCCCAGACUCCUACGGGAGGCAGCAGUGGGGAAUAUUGGACAAUGGGCGAAAGCCUGAUCCAGCAAUGCCGCGUGAGUGAUGAAGGCCUUAGGGUUGUAAAGCUCUUUUACCCGGGAUGAUAAUGACAGUACCGGGAGAAUAAGCUCCGGCUAACUCCGUG